ensembl:snRNA U6 U6 spliceosomal RNA
UCGCUUUGGCAGCACAUGUGCUAAAAGUCUAGUGAUACAGAGAUUACCAUGGCCCUGUGUGAGGAUAACAUGCAAAGUCAUGAAGCGUUCCAUAUGUCU